GUCUACGGCCAUACCACCCCGAACGCGCCCGAUCUCGUCCGAUCUCGGAAGCUAAGCAGGGUCGGGCCUGGUUAGUACUUGGAUGGGAGAAAGUCACUUCUGCUUUCAUCU
rnacentral:rRNA from 1 species